AAAAUAUGCGCCAAAAUAAAAUAUUUAUGAAAACUAUAAUGCAAUGGGGCCCAAAUUAAUAUAUAUACACACUUAGCUCAAUGAACAUAAAUAAUUUAAAAUGGUCAUGUGGCGAUAACUCCUAAAUCAAUAGGCUCUUCAAAGCUCCCCAUACUAGAUUGCUUCCUGGUAAGAAAAACGCGAAAAAAUAUAUGAGUUGAUAAUUCAGUGAAUGGAGAAGUUUGAAAAUAAUUAUACCUUUUUAUUUAAACAUUUUUCUCAUACAUAGACAUUAAGUUCAUAUCGUUUAGUAAUUCACAUGAUAGCCUCAUAAAAUUUAUAGCCAAAAGAAUGAGACAUUCUCAUAACUCUAUAAAUAUCAUCUCAUAUCCACGAUAUAGUCAUCAGCUAAUAUCUAUACCAUCAUCUCAUCUCAUCACAUCACAUCACAUGUGAUCCACCAAAAAUGUACCCUCUAACUAAAAUCUGUAAUCCGCCCCUCGGGCUAAGCACUUUCGUCACGGGCUUUGGCCCUCAACGUGCCGAAUUGCUCCACAUAUAGUUCCUCGAACCACAUUUUCUAAACGAACUAGAGCCAACCCGAAUUGAUCUUGCCUUGGUGGUGAAAUGAUAGACACGCGAGACUCAAAAUCUCGUGCUAAAGAGCGUUGAGGUUCGAGUCCCACCACGGCUCCUCUCUUCUCAAGAACCCAUACAUCCCUUAUCAGGAAUUGAACCUACGAAUUCGCCAAUUAUGAGUUGGCCACUUUAACCAUUCAGCCAUGGAUGCUUCGUAGCAAAAGCACGAAAAAUUGAGCGUUUCUUAUCACAACCUUUUUUUGUAGCAAAAGUAUUUACCGGUUCUUCAGGGAAAUAUGUUGGGGAUCCUAUCAACUUGUUCCGACCUACGAUAAUAAACCAAUUGCCAUUUAGCUAAUAAGCCCAUGGAUAUUGAGGUUCCACAAGCGGUACUUCCUGAUACUGUAUUUGAAGCAAUUGUUCGAUCAUCCUCGAUCGACCCCUCAGUGUAGUAUAGAACAUGACCAAUGCCCCUCUGUGAGCUAAAAGAAGUAUAUAAUCACGGGUACUUUUCUGAUCGAUCUCAAUAUCACAUAUGUCUCACAUUCCAACUCACAAAUAAUUCAUAUCCAAACUUUAAAUUCCGCAUAUACCAUAGUGAAAGAAUCUUUCCAUAUUAAUUAUGUAAUUAAACAAAUAAUUCGCAUAAUCACACGUAAUGUAAUAGUAUAAGUACCUUAUUACUAUUUGAAAAUAUAUAAGUUUUUCCAUUCACAGAUAUAUGGAUAAACAUCUGGUUAAAGUGAAAAGACUUCCCAAGCUCUCACGUCACUACCUGAAAUAAUGAUAAAAUUACUCAAAUUAAAACACGACAAUUAAAUUAAUGUAAAUCUACCGUGCAAUUCUUCAACUCCUAUAUUUAUUCUUGUAUCUCUAUUUCCCUAACUUAUUUUCUUUUUGAUUAUUGGCAACCAAUCAACUCCAUUAAAGUAGUUGAUACUUUCUUAAAAUCACUCUCUUAUACACAUACAACCCCUAUACAUGAUUUAAUCCAAUACCUAAACUCCAAAAUUUAUCAUUUAGUUUCAUUCGAACUUAUAAAAUCAGAGAAAACAAAGGUUUGACAAAAACAGCACUAAAAUCCCAAAGUAUUGAAAUCUGGUACCAAGUUCUGCACAUUGAAAUCUGGCAUCAAAACCAUUGACAGAAAUAGCACUUUUCUGGCAGAAUUUCAAAAAAUAGCACCCCUGCAUUAAUUUUUGCCCGAAAAUUAAUUUAAAAUAUCAAAAUUCAACCUCAACUCCAUAUCUCAUUGUAAUACAUCAUAAAUCAUGUGUUUUAUAUCAUAUACAAAAAACCAAUAUAAAUAUUUAGGCUCUAAUUCACAAACCCAUUUCAUAUAUAUUUUAUUUCCCCCCUUCAACACAAAUCUUCCAAAUAUACACUUCCAAAAUCUCGAAUUUGAGAAAUUUCCAUCAAUUCUAAAAUCAAAUAUCAUCCUUCAAUAAACAAAACUUAUACUUACCCUGAAAAAUUGAGAUGAAAUUGAAGACCAAGCCCUCUUCCCCUUUUUCUUUUUUUCCUUUUCUUUCUUCUUUUCUUUCCCUUUCUUCACGAUUCUUCUCGAUUUUUUUUCCUCUGCUUAGCCCGUUUCCAGCUCUCUCUCUC
rnacentral:lncRNA from 1 species